rnacentral:siRNA from 1 species
AUGGUGAACUAUGCCUGA